rnacentral:rRNA from 1 species
GACGAACGCUGGCGGCGUGCCUAAUACAUGCAAGUAGAACGAGUUGCGAACGGGUGAGUAACGCGUGGUAACCUGCCUAAUAGCGGGGGAUAACUAUUGGAAACGCUAGCUAAUACCGCAUACUGUGAGAUGGACCUGCGUUGUAUUAGCUAGUUGGGGAGGUAAAGGCCGACCAAGGCGACGAUACAUAGCCGACCUGAGAGGGUGAGCGGCCACAAUGGAAUGUAGACACGGUCCAGACUCCUACGGGAGGCAGCAGUGGGGAUUAUUGCAGAAUGGGCGCAAGCCUGAUGCAGCCAUGCCGCGUGGAUGAAGAAGGCCUUCGGGUUGUAAAGUACUUACAGCGGGGAGGCGUUACCCGCAGAAGAAGCACCGGGUAACUCCGUGCGAGCAGCCGCGGUAAUAC